rnacentral:rRNA from 1 species
GUUGGGAAUUUUGGGCAAUGGGCGCAAGCCUGACCCAGCGACACCGCGUGGGGGACGAAGGCCUUCGGGUCGUAAACCCCUGUCAGGAGGGACGAAGCCGUAAGGUGACGGUACCUCCAGAGGAAGCCCCGGCUAACUACGUGCCAGCAGCCGCGGUAAGACGUAGGGGGCUAGCGUUGUCCGGAAUUACUGGGCGUAAAGCGCGUGCAGGCGGUCUGCUAAGUCCCGUGUGAAAGCCUCCGGCUCAACCGGAGGACGUCGCGGGAUACUGGCGGGCUUGAGGGCGGUAGAGGGUGAUGGAAUUCCCGGUGUAGCGGUGAAAUGCGUAGAUAUCGGGAGGAACGCCAGUGGCGAAGGCGGUCACCUGGGCCGUCCCUGACGCUGAGACGCGAAAGCUGGGGGAGCGAACGGGAUUAGAAACCCCUGUAGUCC